CGACCGGCGCACGGGUGAGUAACGCGUGGGUAACCUGCCUCAUACAGGGGGAUAACAGUUGGAAACGGCUGCUAAUACCGCAUAAGCGCACAGUACCGCAUGGUACCGUGUGAAAAACUCCGGUGGUAUGAGAUGGACCCGCGUCUGAUUAGCUAGUUGGUGGGGUAACGGCCUACCAAGGCGACGAUCAGUAGCCGACCUGAGAGGGUGACCGGCCACAUUGGGACUGAGACACGGCCCAA
rnacentral:rRNA from 1 species